rnacentral:rRNA from 1 species
UACGAAGGGGGCGAGCGUUGUUCGGAUUUACUGGGCGUAAAGGGCGCGCAGGCGGCUCAUUUUGUCAGGCGUGAAAGCCCCGGGCUUAACCUGGGAACUGCGUUUGAUACGGAUGGGCUAGAGUUCGGGAGAGGAGAGUGGAAUUCCCAGUGUAGAGGUGAAAUUCGUAGAUAUUGGGAAGAACACCGGUGGCGAAGGCGGCUCUCUGGACCGAUACUGACGCUGAGGUGCGAAAGCGUGGGGAGCAAACAGG